CCUACGGGUGGCAGCAGUGGGGAAUUUUGGACAAUGGGCGCAAGCCUGAUCCAGCUAUUCCGCGUGUGGGAUGACGGCCUUCGGGUUGUAAACCACUUUUGUAGAGCACGAAAAGUCUGUUGCUAAUACCGAUCUAUGAUGACGGUACUCUAAGAAUAAGCACCGGCUAACUACGUGCCAGCGGCCGCUGUAAUACGUAGGGUGCGAGCGUUAAUCGGAAUUACUGGGCGUAAAGGGUGUGCAGGCGGUUUUGCAAGAUGGAUGUGAAAGCCCCGGGCUUAAACUGGGAAAGCCAUACAUGACUGCAAGAGUAGAGUGCGUCAGAGGGGGGUGGAAUUCCAAGUGUAGCAGUGAAAUGCGUAGAUAUUUGGAAGAACACCGAUGGCGAAGGCAGCCCCCUGGGACGCAACUGACGCUCAUACACGAAAGCGUGGGGAGCAAACAGGAUUAGAUACCCUUGUAGUC
rnacentral:rRNA from 1 species